AAGAGGAAGAGACGGUUACCAUGGAGACCACCAAGCGUCUCCGACCAGGUUGAGCCGCAAACGGUCCAAUAAUAAUCCAGCUGUAUUGUUGCAGAAUUUCAGAUGUUUCUGAUCAACUUGACGCGAAAGUGAAAAGAAUUUAAAAAACAUUUUAAAUCUUUUGCUCAUUCCGUAAAAUCACGAAGAACCAGAAUAAACGGAGCUGGACUUUGGUUUUAUUCAGCGGAACCGAGAGGAGAACCGGCUCUUUAAAAAAGAACCCAAUGAACAGAACCAGAUUUAAUCUGAUCCAUUGGAUCCCGCUUUGCUGUUAUAGUCAUUAUUUCUAUAAGACAAAUAAAACUCGUAUUAAUUCGCUGUUAAAUGAAACAACCUCCAGAACCGAACCGAACCUCCUGGUGAACGUUCCUGCAGAGGAACCGGAGCCUGCGGCUCCACAACAAAACCACAGAACAAGACUUUCACCAGAGUAAAGAGUCCUAAUUACAAACAGACAGGAACCCGGAACCCGUCCAGCUGCGGCCCAGAGCCGCUUCACCGAACCGAACCGGAACCGAAUCCGCUCAUCGGGUCCAAACUCAGCCGGACUGACCCGAUCUAAACAGGAAGAACCUCCAGAACGUCUCCUGCAAUAUCCUGUAAAAUAUCUAUUUGUAAAAGUUUAUAAACUCAUAAAAUAAAUUCAGAGGUAAAAUUUA